UGGGGUUGGAGAAUAGGAUUAAAAGUUGAAAUUUUGGAUUUUGACAUGGUUAUUGCUGAAUCACAGAGAUUCAGGCUGCUGGUAGUACAUAUGGAAACUAUUUUCGUGUAACAACUUAUGGAGAAUAUCAUGGAGGUGGUGUUGGUUGCAUCAUUGAUGGAUGCCCUCCUAGACUUCCCUUAUCAGAAGCUGAUAUGCAAGUUAAACUUGACAGAAGGUAUUGGUUGUUGUAGACUUAGCUUUGCUCUAUUCAUUGCUGAUGAUAAUGUGUCCUUUACUUAUAUGAGAUGCCUUUGUUGCGUGUUGGAAGUAGUUAUGGUUACUGAGGUACUGAUAUCUUUUGAUGAUGGAAAUUUUCUUUUUGAGGAUUAAAUUGUAGAAGUUGUUGUGUCGAGGAGGCCAGGUUAAGAUUUUUGUUUUGGUUAUUAUUCAGAUAAAUUUGGUCAGAGUCAUGGUGCUCGGCUAAGAUUCUUGUUUUUUUGGUUGUACACAUGAUUUGUCAACUGCAGAAGUAACUACUGGCACACCAAUAUCUGAAUUUGUGCCCAAUACUGAUCAGAGAGGACACGUGAGUAUUUGAUGGUAGAUAAUUAAGUCAUAAUGGGUGUGAGGAGGAAAUGUUUAUGAAGAUAAACAACUGCUUUGGAGGGUUAACAUAUUUUUGGCAUUUCCUUAUAAAAUUUUCAGGAUUACAGUGAAAUGUCAACGGCUUAUAGGCCUUCUCAUGCAGAUGCUACAGGUGGUCCCUGCUAAGUGCUGGGAUUGAAGGCAAAGCACAGACAGUGGAGGUGGUGAUCGAGAUGAGGUGAUUUUUUCCAUGAAAUGGGGUUGGGAUUUACUGGACACACUUUGGAUUCUCUAAUAGAACUUUCUCCAACCUGCUUUGUAUCUCAGUUUGAGCCAGACUGAUUCUCAGACAUCUGGGUUUUGUUUCCUGAAGCUUUAAAAAACGAGUUUGGGUGAGAAUGUCUUCUUCAAGGCUUUCCUUGAUGUUGUCAAGACAAGGAGUUUACCCUGGAAUGACUAUGAAAUGGAUGCAAUCCAUUCUUUACAGCUUAUCUUGAGGAAUGCAUUUAAUGAUGUUGAAGCAACGGGUAUAAGUAACAAUGCAAUUAACAUGAAGCUUAGUGACCUCAAAAUUGAAGGGAUGCAAGAAUUGGAAGCAGUGACAAGUGAGAUGGUCCAUUUAAUUGAAACAGCCACAGUGCCAAUUCGAGCAGUUGAUGUUGAUGGGCUGAUAAAUGGGUGGAAUACAAAGAUUGCAGAGUUAACUGGUCUUGCUGUUGAUAAAGCAACUGGAAAUCAUUUUCUCACACUUGUAGAAGAUUCUUCAACUGAUAUAGUCAAAAGGAUGUUGUCCUUGGCACUGCAGGG